rnacentral:rRNA from 1 species
GAGUUUGAUCUUGGCUCAGGAUAAACGCUGGCGGCGUGCAUGAGACAUGCAAGUCGAACGGACGAUCAGGGCUUGCUCUGAUCGUUAGUGGCGGACGGCUGAGUAACGCGUAGGUGACCUGCCCCGAAGUGGGGAAUAACUGCCCGAAAGGGUGGCUAAUACCGCAUGUGGUGGUGUGUUCAUUCACACCAGUAAAGCCGCAAGGCGCUUCGGGAGGGGCCUGCGUCCGAUUAGCUCGUUGGUGGGGUAACGGCUCACCAAGGCGACGAUCGGUAGGUGGUCUGAGAGGACGAUCACCCAGACUGGGACUGAGACACGGCCCAGACUCCUACGGGAGGCAGCAGUCGGGAAUUUUGCGCAAUGGACGAAAGUCUGACGCAGCAACGCCGCGUGAGGGAUGAA